rnacentral:piRNA from 1 species
CCAGAACAGAGAACAGAACAGGAU